UACAGAGGGUGCGAGCGUUAAUCGGAAUUACUGGGCGUAAAGCGUGCGUAGACGGUUAUUUAAGUCGGAUGUGAAAGCCCCGGGCUCAACCUGGGAAUUGCAUUCGAGACUGAAUAGCUAGGGUGCGGUAGAGGGAAGCGGAAUUUCCGGUGUAGCGGGUGAAAUGCGUAGAUAAUCGGAAGGAACAUCAGUGGCGAAAGCGGCUUCCUGGACCAGCAC
rnacentral:rRNA from 1 species